rnacentral:tRNA from 2 species
GGAAAGGUGGCCGAGUGGUUUAAGGCAGCGCUCUUGAAAAGCGCCGAUGGGCAACCAUCCGUGGGUUCGAAUCCCACCCUUUCCGCCA